rnacentral:rRNA from 1 species
GAUGAACGCUGGCGGCGUGCCUAAUACAUGCAAGUCGAGCGAACAGACGAGGAGCUUGCUCCUCUGACGUUAGCGGCGGACGGGUGAGUAACACGUGGAUAACCUACCUAUAAGACUGGGAUAACUUCGGGAAACCGGAGCUAAUACCGGAUAACAUGUUGAACCGCAUGGUUCAACAGUGAAAGACGGUCUUGCGGUCACUUAUAGAUGGAUCCGCGCCGCAUUAGCUAGUUGGUAAGGUAACGGCUUACCAAGGCAACGAUGCGUAGCCGACCUGAGAGGGUGAUCGGCCGCCCUGGAACGGAGACACGGUCCAGACGCCUACGGGAGGCAGCAGUAGGGAAUCUUCCGCCAUGGGCGAAAGCCUGACGGAGCAACGCCGCGUGAGUGAAGAACGUCUUCGGAUCGGAAAACUCUGUUAUUAGGGAAUAACAAAUGUGUAAGUAACUAGGCACGUCUUGACGGUACCUAAGUAGAAAGCCACGGCUAACUACGUU